UCCUCCCUCUGGCGGCGUGCCUAAUACAUGCAAGUCGAACGAGAGCGACCGGUGCUUGCACUGGUCAAUCUAGUGGCGAACGGGUGAGUAACACGUGGGUAACCUGCCCAUCAGAGGGGGAUAACAUCCGGAAACGGAUGCUAAAACCGCAUAGGUCUUCGAACCGCAUGGUUUGAAGAGGAAAAGAGGCGCAAGCUUCUGCUGAUGGAUGGACCCGCGGUGCAUUAGCUAGUUGGUGAGGUAACGGCUCACCAAGGCCGUGAUGCAUAGCCGACCUGAGAGGGUGAUCGGCCACAUUGGGACUGAGACACGGCCCAAACUCCUACGGGAGGCAGCAGUAGGGAAUCUUCCGCAAUGGACGCAAGUCUGACGGAGCAACGCCGCGUGAGUGAAGAAGGUUUUCGGAUCGUAAAACUCUGUUGUUAGAGAAGAACAAGUGCUAGAGUAACUGUUAGCGCCUUGACGGUAUCUAACCAGAAAGCCACGGCUAACUACGUG
rnacentral:rRNA from 1 species